rnacentral:rRNA from 1 species
CCUACGGGAGGCAGCAGUGGGGAAUAUUGCACAAUGGGGGAAACCCUGAUGCAGCGACGCCGCGUGAAGGAAGAAGUAUUUCGGUAUGUAAACUUCUAUCAGCAGGGAAGAAAAUGACGGUACCUGACUAAGAAGCCCCGGCUAACUACGUGCCAGCAGCCGCGGUAAUACGUAGGGGGCAAGCGUUAUCCGGAUUUACUGGGUGUAAAGGGAGCGUAGGCGGUUUAGCAAGUCAGAAGUGAAAGCCCGGGGCUAAACUCCGGGACUGCUGUUGAAACUGUUGAACAAGAUUGCAGGAGAGGUAGGAGGAAUGCGCAGUGUAGCGGUGAAAUGCGGAGAUAUUGGGAAGAACACCAGUGGCGAAGGCGGCAUACUGGACUGUAAAUGACGAUGAGGCACGAAAGCGUGGGGAGCGAACAGGAUUAGAUACCCUGGUAGUC